GACGAAGGGGGCUAGCGUUGUUCGGAAUCACUGGGCGUAAAGCGCACGUAGGCGGACUUGUUAGUCAGGGGUGAAAUCCCGGGGCUCAACCCCGGAACUGCCUUUGAUACUGCAAGUCUUGAGUCCGAGAGAGGUGAGUGGAAUUCCUAGUGUAGAGGUGAAAUUCGUAGAUAUUAGGAAGAACACAAGUGGCGAAGGCGGCUCACUGGCUCGGUACUGACGCUGAGGUGCGAAAGCGUGGGGAGCAAACAGG
rnacentral:rRNA from 1 species